CCAAUAGCGUAUAUUAAAGUUGUUGCAGUUAAAAAGCUCGUAGUUGAACUUCGGGAUCAAUUAGUUGGUCAUGCCUUGGUAUGUACUGAUUUUAUUGGUUCUCACCUUCUAAAGAACUAUAAUGUCAUUUAUUUGAUGUUAUAGGGAAUUAGGACUGUUACCUUGAAAAAAUUAGAGUGUUUAAAGCAGGCUCACGCUUGAAUACAUUAGCAUGGAAUAAUGAAAUAGUACAUCGCAUUCUAUUUUGUUGGUUUCUAGGAUCGAUGUAAUGAUUAAUAGGGAUAGUUGGGGGCAUUAGUAUUCAAUUGUCAGAGGUGAAAUUCUUGGAUUUAUUGAAGACUAACUACUGCGAAAGCAUUUGCCAAGGAUGUUUUCAUUAAUCAAGAACGAAAGUUAGGGGAUCGAAGACGAUCAGAUACCGUCGUAGUCUUAACCAUAAACUAUGCCGACUAGGGAUCGGAUGAUGUUGAUUUUUUAAUGACUCAUUCGGCACCUUACG
rnacentral:misc_RNA from 1 species